ACUCCUACGGGAGGCAGCAGUGGGGAAUAUUGCACAAUGGGCGCAAGCCUGAUGCAGCAACGCCGCGUGAGGGACGACGGCCUUCGGGUUGUAAACCUCUUUUAGUAGGGAAGAAGCGAAAGUGACGGUACCUGCAGAAAAAGCACCGGCUAACUACGUGCCAGCAGCCGCGGUAAUACGUAGGGUGCAAGCGUUAUCCGGAAUUAUUGGGCGUAAAGAGCUCGUAGGCGGUUUGUCGCGUCUGCUGUGAAAACUGGAGGCUCAACCUCCAGCCUGCAGUGGGUACGGGCAGACUAGAGUGCGGUAGGGGAGAUUGGAAUUCCUGGUGUAGCGGUGGAAUGCGCAGAUAUCAGGAGGAACACCGAUGGCGAAGGCAGAUCUCUGGGCCGUAACUGACGCUGAGGAGCGAAAGCAUGGGGAGCGAACAGGAUUAGAUACCCUGGUAGUCCAUGCCGUAAACGUUGGGAACUAGAUGUAGGGACCAUUCCACGGUUUCUGUGUCGCAGCUAACGCAUUAAGUUCCCCGCCUGGGGAGUACGGCCGCAAGGCUAAAACUCAAAGGAAUUGACGGGGGCCCGCACAAGCGGCGGAGCAUGCGGAUUAAUUCGAUGCAACGCGAAGAACCUUACCAAGGCUUGACAUAUACCGGAAAAUGCAAAAAUGUACUCCCCCCUUGGUCGGUAUACACGUGGUGCAUGGUUGUCCUCACCUCGUGUCCUGAGAUGUUGGGUUAAGUCCCCAACGAGCGCAACCCUCGUUCUAUGUUUCCCCCCGUUAUGGUGGGAACUCCUAUGAGACUGCCGGGGUCAACUCGGA
rnacentral:rRNA from 1 species